UGCGCAGGCGGCCGGGUGUGUCGGGUGUGAAAGCUCGAGGCUUAACCUCGAAACUGCGCCCGAAACUAUCCGGCUAGAGUACUGGAGAGGGAAGCGGAAUUCACGGUGUAGCAGUGAAAUGCGUAGAUAUCGUGAGGAACACCAAUGGCGAAGGCAGCUUCCUGGACAGUUACUGACGCUCAGGCACGAAAGCGUGGGGAGCAAAAGGGAUUAGAUACCCCUGUAGUCCACGCCCUAAACGGUGCAUACUAGGUGUUGGCGGAAUCGACCCCGCCAGUGCCCAAGCUAACGCGAUAAGUAUGCCGCCUGAGGACUACGGCCGCAAGGCUAAA
rnacentral:rRNA from 1 species